GUUUCUUGGUGAAAAGAAAUUCUUGACAGCUUCCCUAUUACCAGUGCAAAAGUUGUCGUUGCUGGACCAGCAAGAAAAAAAAAUCUGCUAUGCAUAACGACAGACCUGCUUUUUUGCAGCAAGGACCAAAACAUGUAGAAGUCUAAUGUAUUGGAAAUGCUUCGACUGAUCAGGGGAUGUAAGGGAUGUAAGUGAUAAGGUAGUGGGCUCAAAAUUUAUAGUAUGAUGUUAGUUUUCUUUUUAAUUCUGUAUUCAUGUCGUAUAACUGCUUAAUUCAAGUUUGGCAUGUCAGUUUUUAUAUUAUUUUCGAACUUGAAUGACUUCGUAGUAUUAAAUUGUUGGUGGGGGGUUGAAAUGAAGUUGAAAAUAUGAUGUGCUUUGUCCAGUAAUUAUGUUUGCACCUUUUGAAUUUCUUUCCUUAUAUGUAGGUUUAAUUUAUUUACUACAUUUCAACCCCCCACCCACUUAGUGGGAAAAGGCUUUGUUGUUGUUGUUGUUGUAUAUGUAGGUUUAAUUUAGAAAUUCCUGCAUACUUUUUUUCUCCGGAUAGUGUACCGUGUGUGGACAGCUUCUGAGUGGAAUGGUUGUGUGUCAUUAAAUAACAUGAUGUUAUCGUGGUUGUGGGUGGGUAUAUGAUGGCCCAGGUGAUGCAACAUGAGAAGAUAACGGUUUUGUGCAGGCAUGAAUUAUGGUUUGAGAGUUCUAUUUUUUGGAUUUCCUCCCUUAUAUGUAGGUUUCGUUUAGUAUGCGAUGGUAACACAAAUGGGUAGCAGUUGGAUUAUUUGGGACUCAAUGUGAGACAUAAAGACAGAGGAGGAACUUAUUCUGUUUCUUAUUGCAAGUCUAUUAAAUUUGGAAAGGUUAAAAGUUUUUAGUAAGCUUUGGCAGAUUAAAUACAAAUAAUUGUUUAAGUUGAGAUCUGGGACCAUGGCUUCUGGCAAUCCAUGAAACCAGGUGGUGGGGGAAAGCCAUUCAGGUAUUCAAAUAUGAAGUUUCUUACGUAUUAGACCGAAUUGGUUUGAGCAUGAUUCAAGUCUCAGUACAGCUGGAUAUUUGUUUCCUCACACAGAUUUUGUGCAUACCUUGAUGCAUUUUUUUCAUAGAAAUUACUGGAUUAAUUCAUCCUGAAUUAACUUUUGUAUAAUUCCACCUACAUGUGCCUUGUUUUAAUGAUUAGUCAAUGGAUUUU
rnacentral:sRNA from 1 species